AGAUACUAUUCAGCUUUUAUGCUGAUUCAUCAGCUCACAGUGAAACGAGCUUGCAUGAGAGCAUCCCAGGACCACUGAACAUUCAGAGACUCAGCCUGCCUGCACCCAGGUGAAAUAAACAGCAUUUUUGCUCACACAUAGCCUGUUUGGUGGUCUCUUCACAUGGAUGCGCAUGAAAUUUGGUGCUGUGACUCGGAUCCGGAGACCUCCCUUGGGAGAUAAAAUCCCCUGUCCUCCUGCUCUUUGCUCCGUGAAAAAGAUCCACCUACGACCUCAAGUCCUCAGACCCACCAGCCCAAGGAACAUCUCACCAAUUUUAAAUCAGCAAAAUGACAUGAAUGACUGAAAAAGCAUGUGGAGCACAAGACUCAAGAACUAAGUGAAAGGACUCACACUUCCUGAUUUCAAGUAAAGCUACAGCAAUCAAGACGUGGCAUUGAUGUAAGAAUAGACACAUCAAUGAAUGAAACAGAAUACAUCUUCCAGAAAUAAAUUCACACAAAUAUAGUCAAGAGGUUUUUUGUGUGCUAAAGUGUAUAUAAUAUUUACCAUUUUAACCAUUUUUAAGUGCACAGUUCAGAAGCAUUAAGAAUAAACAAUGUUGUAUAACCAUCACCAUUAUCCAGUUCCAGAAUUUUUCAUCACCUCACACAGAAACUCUGUACCUAUUAUCAACAAUAAAUUUUCAUUCCCCCCUUGCCCUCAGUCUCUGGUAACCACUAUUGAACUUUCUGUUUCUAUGAAUUUGCCCCUUCUCAGUGCCUAAUAUGAGUGGAAUAAUACAAUAUGGGUCCUUUGUGCCUAGUUUAUUUCACUUACUGUAAUGUUUUCAAGGUUCAUCCAUGUUAUAAUAUGGAUCAGAAUUUUAUUUCUUUUCAAGCAUGAAUAAUAGUCCAUGGUAUGUCUAUACCACAUUGUUUAUCCAUUCAUCAGCUGAUGGAUAUUUGGGGGUUGUUUCUAUCUUUUGGCUAUUGUAAAUGAUGAUGUUAUGAACAAUGGUGUAUAAUGUCUGUUUGAGCACUGCUUUGAAUUGUUUGGGGUAUAUACUUAGGAGCGGAAUUACUGGAUCAUAUGUCAAUUCUAUGUUUAAUUUUUGAGGAACUGUCGAGCUGUCUUUCACAGCAGCUGCAUAAUUUUACAUUCCCACCACAAUGCAUAAGAGCUUCAGUUUCUCAAAAUCUUUACCAACAUUUAUUUUUCUUUUUAAAAAUAUAUAAUAGCCAUACUAAUAGUAUAAAGUAAUAUUUCAUUGUGCAUUUGAUUUGCAUUUCCCUAAUGAUAACUGAUGUUGAGCAUCUUUUCACGUGCUUGUUGACCAUUUGUAUAUCUUCUUUUGAGAUAUGUCUAAUCAAGUCCUUUGUCCAUUUUUUAAUUGGGCUGGGUAUUAUUCUUCUGUUAUUGUUGAGUUGCAGGAGUUCUUUAUAUAUUCUGCAUAAAAGUUCCUUAUCAUAUAUUGAUUUUCAAAAUCUCUCUCCUAUUCUAUGGGUUGUUUUGAUUUUUUUUUUUUUUUUGCUUUCUCAACAGUGUCCUUUAAUGUGUAAAAUCUUUUAAUUUUGAUGAAGUCCAGUGUAUCUACUUUUUUCUUUUGUUGCCUGUGAUUUUGUUGGCAUUUUCAAUAAAUCACUGCCAGAUCUAAUGUU
ensembl:lncRNA LINC00836 long intergenic non-protein coding RNA 836